rnacentral:rRNA from 1 species
CAGCCGCCACGGGAAUACGUAGGGUGCAAGCGUUAAUCGGAAUUACUGGGCGUAAAGCGCACGCAGGCGGUCUGACAAGUCAGAUGUGAAAUCCCCGGGCUUAACCUGGGAACUGCAUUUGAAACUGUCAGGCUGGAGUCUUGUAGAGGGGGGUAGAAUUCCAGGUGUAGCGGUGAAAUGCGUAGAGAUCUGGAGGAAUACCGGUGGCGAAGGCGGCCCCCUGGACAAAGACUGACGCUCAGGUGCGAAAGCGUGGGGAGCAAACAGGAUUAGAUACCCCGGUAGUCCCUGUCUCUUAUAC